GUUCAGGUCACGUGACGUUAUCGUGUAAUUGGAGUGGAAAUGGCCAGAAUUACUGGUGUGAAAUAAACCGUUUCUUUUACCGUUUCAAAGAUUGUUUCAUAGAAAUAAAGGUUAUCUUUUAUGAAAUUAAUAUUUGUUUUAACUAUAAAUGACAUUUUUAAACUAUAACGAGUUUUAGAAACCUUUUUAAACUUUAUCUAGAAAUGCGCCGAUUCGACGACGUUCUGCAUGUUUAGUGUAUUACGGCCGCGGUUUAGUCUGUUCUUUAAGAGGUAGUCGUUUUUUGAUUGGCUAUCCGGGAGCUGUUUGAUGACGUAUCGCUUUGUAAAGCCAAUGAAAUAAAAGAUAACACUCCAAGCUACAUGGUGAUAUAUUUUCGCAUGGCGUAUGACCUUUAGAAGUUGGUGAAAAUGUAAACAGAAUAAAGUCAUCGGAAAAUUUUACGUUCCACAUGUUUUGGAUUGUGACUGUGGGCAGUUGUGACCAUGUUCUGUUUUGAAGAGUCGAGUAGUAAAAAACCAUGAAGCCAUCGUGAUGAGCCAUGAUGUGGAUAUAAACAGGGCUAUUUUUUAUAUUUUUUUUCUUCACAUUUAUAAUUUGUAUACAUGUACUGCUGGUAGGGACAUGUAGAAGCAUAACUUACAACUUAUAAUUUAAUUCUGAAAUUGAAGAAAAUUAACAAACUAAAUUCCUAAGCCUAGCAUGCUAGGCUUUUAGGUUUUACUUACUAUUUAACGUUUAAGUAGCAGUGAUUCACAUUACAUGACUUUAUUUACAUACUUUACCAUAAAAUAUUUACAUAACAUGCCGUCAUGCGUUUAAAAGGCCCAGUUGUUUCUGAUUAAUACUAGCCCGUGUCUAGCGUGCUAUAUUUAUAACUUUAAAGCCGUCCUGCUAUUAUGACACAAGGCGUGCCAAUAUGACAAGACCGCACACACCAGUUUAAUAUUUAACUUUUUAGCUAUUGAUGCGUCUAUUUUUGCCAUUUCAGAAUCGCAUAACCUUGAUACCGGGAAACAGGCCUUGACCAACAAAGAUGUUAUCACAGCUUUUGAACAAUUUUGUUGCGGGAAAAUUACUUUUAAAUUUGAAGGGACUUUUUGCGCGUACACUAUUUUUAGUACACUGUUGUUAUUGUACCUCAUUAAUUUUAAAUUGUUGGUUGCUAUGGAAACAGCUUUCUGCAUAACCUUAAGUUUCACAAUAUACCAUUCUCAGUAAGAGAAGUCAUUUGGAAGUACAUACUUAUGAAACCAAUCAAACACUUUUCACAAAUACCUUUUUUUGCACUUUUUAAAUUUUUUGGGUGUUUUGACUUGUUUCUAUGGCAACCCUUUUUCACUAUUCUUUGCAAAUAGAUGCAUGUACAUGUCAUGUGCAGUGAUGUAUGGUUAUCAAAUUGAUAGUGUUUUGUGCUGAUUAUGAGUAUUGGGAUAAGAGUUUUAUUGAACCUUAAUUAUUUACAAAUUGCGUAGUUUUAUGCUUUCAAUUCUUCCUUUUAUGCUUUUGAUUUUGGUUGCUAUGGAGACAGAUUCUGUAAAAUGUUGCUAAAUAUUAUUAGUAAUGGUCUUAACUUUGCAAACCACCAUAUGUAAAAGUCUUUUGUCUUUUAAUUGACAAAAAAUCUUUAAUUUUAGCAAUUUUCAUAUUGUAUGCUUUUAUUACCCGUUUCCAUGGCAACGGUUUUUUUCUGUUAUAUGACUGGAUUUUCGUAAAAAAUUGUCAUAACUUGUUAAAAAAUAUCACUGAUCAAAUUACCUUUCUAAAAAUGUAUACUUUAUUAUGCAUUUACUGAUUAAGCUUAGCUGAAAUAACAUUUAAAGAACA